rnacentral:rRNA from 1 species
UACGAAGGGGGGCUAGCGUUGUUCGGAAUCACUGGGCGUAAAGCGCACGUAGGCGGAUCUUUAAGUCAGAGGUGAAAUCCCAAGGCUCAACCUUGGAACUGCCUUUGAUACUGGGGAUCUCGAGUCCGGGAGAGGUGAGCGGAACUGCGAGUGUAGAGGUGAAAUUCGUAGAUAUUCGCAAGAACACCAGUGGCGAAGGCGGCUCACUGGCC